CCUACGGGAGGCAGCAGUGAGGAAUAUUGGUCAAUGGCCGGGAGGCUGAACCAGCCAAGUCGCGUGAGGGAAGACGGCCCUACGGGUUGUAAACCUCUUUUGUCAGGGAGCAAGGUGCAGGUCGGGACCUGCUGUGAGAGUACCUGAAGAAAAAGCAUCGGCUAACUCCGUGCCAGCAGCCGCGGUAAUACGGAGGAUGCGAGCGUUAUCCGGAUUUAUUGGGUUUAAAGGGUGCGCAGGCGGAGGCACAAGUCAGCGGUAAAAUCGCGGGGCUCAACCCCGCUCCGCCGUUGAAACUGUGUGCCUUGAGUGCGCGAAGGGUAGGCGGAAUGCGUGGUGGAGCGGUGAAAUGCAUAGAUAUCACGCAGAACUCCGAUCGCGAAGGCAGCCUACCGGCGCGCAACUGACGCUCAUGCACGAAAGCGUGGGUAUCGAACAGGAUUAGAUACCCGGGUAGUC
rnacentral:rRNA from 1 species